rnacentral:rRNA from 1 species
UACGUAGGGUGCAAGCGUUGUCCGGAAUUAUUGGGCGUAAAGAGCUCGUAGGCGGUCUGUCACGUCGGCUGUGAAAACCCGGGGCUCAACCCCGGGCCUGCAGUCGAUACGGGCAGACUAGAGUGCGGUAGGGGAGACUGGAAUUCCUGGUGUAGUGGUGAAAUGCGCAGAUAUCAGGAGGAACACCGGUGGCGAAGGCGGGUCUCUGGGCCGAUACUGACACUGAGAAGCGAAAGCGUGGGGAGCGAACAGG